rnacentral:rRNA from 1 species
GAUGAACGCUGGCGGCGUGCCUAAUACAUGCAAGUCGAGCGAACAGACGAGGAGCUUGCUCCUCUGACGUUAGCGGCGGACGGGUGAGUAACACGUGGAUAACCUACCUAUAAGACUGGGAUAACUUCGGGAAACCGGAGCUAAUACCGGAUAAUAUAUUGAACCGCAUGGUUCAAUAGUGAAAGACGGUUUUGCUGUCACUUAUAGAUGGAUCCGCGCCGCAUUAGCUAGUUGGUAAGGUAGCGGCUUACCAAGGCAACGAUGCGUAGCCGACCUGAGAGGGUGAUCGGCCACACUGGAACUGAGACACGGUCCAGACUCCUACGGGAGGCAGCAGUAGGGAAUCUUCCGCAAUGGGCGAAAGCUUGACGGAGCAACGCCGCGUGAGUGAUGAAGGUCUUCCGAUCGUAAAACUCUGUUAUUAGGGAAGAACAAAUGUGUAAGUAACUAUGCACGUCUUGACGGUACCUAAUCAGAAAGCCACGGCUAACUACGUG